rnacentral:rRNA from 1 species
CAGCCGCCACGGUAAUACGUAUGUCACAAGCGUUAUCCGGAUUUAUUGGGCGUAAAGCGCGUCUAGGUGGUUAUGUAAGUCUGACGUGAAAAUGCAGGGCUCAACUCUGUAUUGCGUUGGAAACUGUGUAACUAGAGUACUGGAGAGGUAAGCGGAACUACAAGUGUAGAGGUGAAAUUCGUAGAUAUUUGUAGGAAUGCCGAUGGGGAAGCCAGCUUACUGGACAGAUACUGACGCUAAAGCGCGAAAGCGUGGGUAGCAAACAGGAUUAGAUACCCCCGUAGUCCCUGUCUCUUAUACA